UACGUAGGUGGCAAGCGUUGUCCGGAUUUAUUGGGUUUAAAGGGUGCGUAGGCGGUCCUAUAAGUCAGUGGUGAAAUACGGCAGCUUAACUGUCGAGGUGCCAUUGAUACUGCAGGACUAGAGUACUGAUGAGGUAGGCGGAAUGGACGGUGUAGCGGUGAAAUGCUUAGAUAUCGUCCAGAACACCGAUAGCGAAGGCAGCUUACUAAGGAGUAACUGACGCUGAGGCACGAAAGUGUGGGGAUCAAACAGG
rnacentral:rRNA from 1 species